CGACGGGACUCGGGCAGAAAUCAUGUUCAUAGAUGAGCUAAUGAUUUAAUAAUGUAGUAGAAUGAAGCAGGGUGAAAGCCGUUGAAGCUAAACGAGGCCACUUAAUGAGCACGACAUGUGGCUCGAAAGCAGCUGCUUCUGCUCCUUCUGGUCCUCAGAUUGUUUGGCUUCUGUCCAUAUUGCAUCACGUCAUGUGCGGGAUAAGAACUGGAUGGUGAUCCACCACAGGUUGGAGUUUCCAGAUUUGGGGCCAAGUCUAUGCGCAGUAUCGACCAUGUACUGUAGUUUCUCCACAGAGUGUGAAGAGAGGUUCCUGAACAGCUCAAUGACAACAAUUUUGACAAUUUCCCUUUCACGCUCAGCUUCUCAACCGUUAACUGCAGAGAAAGCACCUUCUCCGUCACGUCUUCCACCUGUCUAUUCAUGGAUUCAAGCGAGCAGCGACGAGGAUCAUCUCUUCGCUGACUCUUCUGCCAGAAGAAGCUCCAGCUCUGCUCACCGCCAUGAAAAAAGCCAAAGCAGCAAAUGUAAGCAUCAUUGCAGGCAUCCGGCAUCCAGAGCAAAGAGCAAAUUUCCAAGAGCAAAUUUCAGCAUGCGUUGCUUCAAAUGUUGCGCCG
ensembl:lncRNA